rnacentral:SRP_RNA from 2 species
GCUGGACGUCGGGGUGGGCGCCUGUAAUCCCAGCUACUUGGAGGCUGAGACAGGGGAAUCACUUGAACCCGGGAGGCAGAGGUUGCAGUGAGCCGAGAUCAUGCCAUUGCACUCCAGCCCGGGUGACAGUGUGAGACUCCGUCUCAA